rnacentral:rRNA from 1 species
GACGAACGCUGGCGGCGUGGAUUAGGCAUGCAAGUCGAACGGUAUCAUCCUUUCGGGGGUGAGAGAGUGGCGAACUGGUGAGUAACACGUAGGUUAUCUACCCUCAAGACGGGGACAACCCAGGGAAACUUGGGCUAAUACCGGAUGUGAGCAACUUUUAGUUGUUUGAAAGGUGGCGUAAGCUGUCGCUUGGGGAUGAGCCUGCGUCCUAUUAGUUAGUUGGUGAGGUAACGGCUCACCUAGGCAAUGAUAGGUAGGCGGCCUUAACGGGUGGUCGCCCACACUGGGAUUGAGAUACGGCCCAGACUCCUACGGGAGGCAGCAGUCGAGAAUAGUCUACAAUGGUCGGAAGACUGAUAGUGCGACGCCGCGUGAACGAUGAAUCCCUUCGGGGUGUAAAGUUCUUUUAUAUGUGAGCAGUGCUUCUAUAUUAACAGUAUGGGGAAGAGAUAUUAGCAUAUGAAUAAGCAACGGCUAACUCCGUGCCAGCAGCCGCGGU